AUCGCUUCUCAGCCUUUUGGCUAAGAUCAAGUGUAAAAAUGGUUCUACACUUUUAUGAAAGUGAAAAGUAUGUUUUGAGCAAAAUAAGAGUUUUC
rnacentral:snRNA from 1 species